GUCCACGCCGUAAACGAUGAGAACUAGGCGUUGGGGGGUUUUAUACCCUUAGUGUCGCAGCUAACGCGAUAAGUUCUCCGCCUGGGGAGUACGGCCGCAAGGUUAAAACUCAAAGGAAUUGACGGGGGCCCGCACAAGCGGUGGAGCAUGUGGUUUAAUUCGAUGCAACGCGAAAAACCUUACCUGCCCUUGACAUCUGGCGAACUUUCCAGAGAUGGAUUGGUGCCUUCGUGAAUGCCAUGACAGGUGCUGCAUGGCUGUCGU
rnacentral:rRNA from 1 species